AUCUUAUAUAGAUGUAUAAAUGCAAGACAAUUUAGCAUCUCCCUUUAAGGUAAUUUAUUUUAGAAGCUCAAGCAACAAACUUUAUUGUUUUGAUUAAAAAAAUCAAUGAAUUGGAAUUAUUUUUUUUCAGUUGAAAUGAGGUGAGCGAGAGUGAAAUGGGUUAACCGUGAGACCUUGAGUUGAAAAACUCUAAAAUUGAUCUAAAAAUGGAAUUUUUUUAUUUUCUUGUUUUUUAGUUACGGUUUG
rnacentral:sRNA from 12 species